rnacentral:ncRNA from 1 species
AGCAUCUAAGUGCGAAACUAGCCACGAGAUGAGACUUCCUUAUAGGGUCGUAGAAGAUGACUACGUUGAUAGGCCAUAGGUGUAAAGGUUGAGAGACCAAAGCCAAGUGGUACUAAUAGCCCGAAGCUUUCUCAAG